GACGAACGCUGGCGGCGUGCCUAACACAUGCAAGUCGAACGGAAAGGCCCGGCUUUUGUGGGUUUCUCGUUUGGCGAACGGGGGAGUAAAACGUGAGUAACCUGCCCUUGACUUUGGGGGAACUUCAGGAAACUGGGGCGAAUACCGGAUAGAAGAUCCUGCUGCAUGGUGGGGGUUGGUAAGUUUCGGCGGUUGUGGCUGGACUCGCGGCUUAUGAGCUGCUUGGUGGGGUAGUGGCUUCCAAAGGGUUUGACGGGUAGCCGGCCUGGGAGGGUAGCCGGCCACCUGGGGCCUGCGGUACGGCCCAGACUCCUACCUGCGGCAGCAGUGGGGAACCUUGCACAGCGGGGGGACGCCUGAUGUGGCGACGCCGCGUGCGGGAUGCCGGCCUUCGGGUUGUAAACCGAUUUCGCCUUUAACGAGGCCUGCGUGACGGUAAUGGGUCAAGAAGCCCCGGCUAACUACGUG
rnacentral:rRNA from 1 species